rnacentral:misc_RNA from 1 species
UCCCCGUCGUCUGCUUCCUGAGGUUUGCCGGCGACUCGGCCGCCGGGGCUUUGAUGGGUUCCAUAUUCGGUUACGGUUCAGGAUUGGUGACAAAGAAAGGAUUCAAGGGGUCCUUUGUGGAUGCAGCAUCUUCUGCUAAGACAUUUGCAGUUUUGUCAGGAGUUCACACACUAGUCGUUUGCUUCUUGAAGAAUUUGCGAG